rnacentral:rRNA from 1 species
CAGUCGCCACGGGAAUACGUAGGGUGCGAGCGUCAAUCGGAAUUACUGGGCGUAAAGCGUGCGCAGGCGGUUUUGUAAGACAGGCGUGAAAUCCCCGGGCUCAACCUGGGAAUGGCGCUUGUGACAGCAAAGCUAGAGUGCGGCAGAGGGGGAUGGAAUCCCGCGUGUAGCAGUGAAAUGCGUAGAUAUGCGGAGGAACACCGAUGGCGAAGGCAAUCCCCUGGGCCUGCACUGACGCUCAUGCACGAAAGCGUGGGGAGCAAACAGGAUUAGAUACCCGAGUAGUCCCUGUCUCUUAUAC